UUAUCAUCCCAUUGCUUUUAGGGACCCUAGAUCUAUAAUGCCAUUUUUUUAAUCAUUUCAGUCCUGCCCCACAGAGGACAGUCUCCACUGAGUUUCUCUAUGACGCUUACCUCUCUCACCAGACCAUUCCUUACAGCUCUGGAGGCCAGCUGGUGACCCGGUGAAGAAUCUCCUUCCUUGGGCCAAUCCUGGUGCCAGUAGUUCGUUACACUUCUCUGGAACACAAACCCUGAUGGAGAUCUCCCUGCGAGACUUUCACUGAGGCGUGCUCUCGGGAUCUCUGCCUCUAAGGAAGUAAGAGAAAAGAGGGUCCAAGAAGGGAGAAGCUGACCUACAAUACAGUAAAGUCCUCAAGCCAUCCCAUGGAGCCUGCUGGGGCU
rnacentral:lncRNA from 1 species